rnacentral:rRNA from 1 species
CAGCCGCCACGGUAAUACGAGGGGGGCAAGCGUUGUUCGGAAUUAUUGGGCGUAAAGGGUGCGUAGGCGGCUUGACAAGUCUUGUGUGAAAUCUAUGGGCUCAACCCAUAGUCUGCACGGGAAACUGUCGGGCUUGAGAAUGGGAGAGGUGAGUGGAAUUUCCGGUGUAGCGGUGAAAUGCGUAGAUAUCGGAAGGAACACCUGUGGCGAAAGCGGCUCACUGGACCAUUUCCGACGCUGAUGCACGAAAGCUAGGGGAGUAAACAGGAUUAGAUACCCCCGUAGUCCCUGUCUCUUAUAC